UACAGAGGGUGCAAGCGUUUAAUCGGAAUUACUGGGCGUAAAGCGCGCGUAGGUGGUUUGUUAAGUUGGAUGUGAAAGCCCCGGGCUCAACCUGGGAAUUGCAUUCGAGACUGAAUAGCUAGGGUACGGUAGAGGGAAGUGGAAUUUCCGGUGUAGCGGUGAAAUGCGUAGAUAUCGGAAGGAACAUCAGUGGCGAAAGCGACUUCCUGGACCAGUACCGACGUCAGGCACGAAAGCGUGGGGAGCAAACAGG
rnacentral:rRNA from 1 species